rnacentral:misc_RNA from 1 species
GAUGAAGAACGUAGCGAAAUGCGAUAAGUAGUGUGAAUUGCAGAAUUCAGUGAAUCAUCGAAUCUUUGAACGCACAUUGCGCCCCUUGGUAUUCCAUGGGGCAUGCCUGUUCGAGCGUCAUUUGUACCUUCAAGCUUUGCUUGGUGUUGGGUGUUUGUCCAUUCUCUUGCAGAGGGACUCGCCUUAAAGUAAUAGGCAGCCAGUGUUUUGGUUUUGAAGCGCAGCACAAGUCGCGAUUCAAAGCUAUACGCCCGCUUCCACAAGCCUUUUUCACUUUUGACCUCGGAUCAGGUAGGGAUACCCGCUGAACUUAAGCAUAUCAAUAAGCGGAGGA